UUUAGAGGGUAAGUAGUUGAAACAGAGGAAGUAACAUUAAAUUUUUAUUUAUUUAGAUAGGAAAAGAGGUUGAAUUUAGAAUUUUUGGUUCUUUAUGUGGCCUAUGUUCACGUCUUACAGAUCGCGUGUUAUCACUCAGGAUUCGGGGAGUAGUAAGCCCUUAACGUGCUGGAUAGAUCUUGAGGAGGACUUCUUGUGGGCAGGUAGGUAUUCAGCUGUUUUAUGAUUGAAGAACAACUGUAGACGGAAGCACCAUUAAAUUGCUUAACUGAAAGAGAGCAACUUCGGACGACUUUCUGCACCUUUGUAGUUAAGGGUUAAUCUUCUCGAGAGAAAGUUGUGAUGGAGUACUUGCGCUCUGCGGUUCCCCAGAAAUCUAGGCAUCAAGCCCUAGGAUCAUCGCAGCCACGUGGCAGGCCUCUGGAAAUGCUGGGAGAUACCAUCCUCUUUGAGCAGUGUUGGCUCGUGUUUAUGUUUUUCCAAACCUAAAGAUACAAAGAGAGAUUUCUAAUACCUUGUUGCAGUCUUCUUCCCAUACAUAAUUUAAAUCUCAUUAUUAUAUAAUGCUUCAAAUUAUGCCCUUGACUGAAGGAAGUUUGCUGUUUUCUCAGAAAGACUUUCUGUUACUGAAUAUCAGAAUCUACUAAAACAAAACUGAAAGAAAAGGCAGCCUUGGAAUUUCUUAGACAAAUGCUUUUUGGAGCUUAGAAAGGCUAUUUAGAUUUCUUUAAGUAAAUUUUGAUUUUUUUAAAAUUGAAAUAUUGGCUUCUAUUAGCCUGACUUAAUUAUAAAGUAAACCAGUUUUCCAUCUGGAAGCAGAUGAAUAAAGUUCAUUGUUGCUAUAGAUGUGAGCUCAUGGGUUAAAUGUGGACAUUCUCAAAGGUAUGAGGCUUGUUUCAGGAAGAAUGUUAAUGCUACCUUUGCAAUCAGUCAUGCAGAGCCCAAUUUGGGGUUGCAGAAUAUGACUUCAGUGGAAGCCAAGGCUUUUCAUAAUGCACUAUGGUCAGGUAUAAUACGAAUUCUCCGUGUGCUGGUUGAAGAAACAAAAUAUAUUUAAAGAAUAAACUAGGAAUUAAUUAGAAAUGUGUUUUUUUCAUAAUCAUACUAGCAAAUAAAAUGUUAUUUUAAGUAUUUCCAGUUAUAAUCCUGCUUCAUUUUUCUCUGCUUUUGAGAUAUUCAUUAUUACUAAAUACUAUUUUAGGAAAAAUUCACAGAAAUAACAGAUGAAUAUUAUCUGUGAUAUCUGCAGAUUUAACUUAUAUAGCUAACAUUGUGUGCUGGUUUUUUAAUGAUGACUUGACAUAUAUGAGCGUCUCAGUUUACAGAAUUUGAAGUUCUACUUUAAUAUUUGUUAAGUAUCCAAACUUCCAUUUAGAUAACUGAGGUACCUUUUUAGAAUUACAAUAGUCAGGCCCGCAUUUCAUUUUUUUAAUGGCAUUGGCCUCAUACAUUUGUACAAAAAUUAAUAAUACAGUGUUUCAUAGUUUGUGUACUGAGAUAUUUACUAUAUUAACAUUUUAUAGUAUAUUCUUAAUCUCCUUUGGCUAGUGAAUUAAAGCUGAAUUUGUCUAAUAUCA